UACGUAGGGUCCGAGCGUUGUCCGGAGUGACUGGGCGUAAAGCGCGCGCAGGCGGCCCGCGAGGUGUCCUGUGAAAGCCCCGUGCUCAACGCGGGAGGGUCAGGGCAAACCGGCGGGCUUGAGGCCGGUAGAGGUGGGUGGAACUCCUGGUGGAGUGGUGAAAUGCGUAGAGAUCAGGAAGAACACCCGUGGCGAAGGCGGCCCACUGGGCCGGAACUGACGCUGAGGCGCGAAGGCGUGGGGAGCGAACGGG
rnacentral:rRNA from 1 species